CUGGGUGAUGUCCUAAUAGCUGGGCUGGGUGAUGUAAUAAUAGCUGGUUUGGGUGAUGUCCUAAUAGCUGGGCUGGGUGAUGUCCUAAUAGCUGGGCCGGGUGAUGUCCUAAUAGCUGGGCUGGGUGAUGUCCUAAUAGCUGGGCUAGGCUGGGUGAUGUCCUAAUAGCUGGGCUGGGUGAUGUCCUAAUAGCUGGGCGGGGUGAUGUCCUAAUAGCUGGGUUGUGCUAGGUGAUGUCCUAAAAGCUGGGCUGGGUGAUGUCCUAAUAGCUGGGCUGGGUGAUGUCCUAAUAGCUGGGCUGGGUGAUGUCCUAAUAGCUGGGCUGGGUGAUGUCCUAAUAGCUGGGUUGGGUGAUGUCCUAAUAGCUGGGCUGGGUGAUGUCCUAAUAUCUGGGCUAGGCUGGGUGAUGUCCUAAUAGCUGGGCUGGGUGAUGUCCUAAUAGCUGGGCUAGGUGAUGUCCUAAAAGCUGGGCUGGGUGAUGUCCUAAUAGCUGGGCUAGGCUGGGUGAUGUCCUAAUAGCUGGGCUGGGUGAUGUCCUAAUAGCUGGGCUGGGUGAUGUCCUAAUAGCUGGGUUGUGCUAGGUGAUGUCCUAAAAGCUGGGCUGGGUGAUGUCCUAAUAGCUGGGUUGUGCUAGGUGAUGUCCUAAAAGUUGGUUUGGGUGAUGUCCUAAUAGCUGGGCUGGGUAAUGUCCUAAUAGCUGGGCUGGGUGAUGUCCUAAUAGCUGGGCUGGGUGAUGUCCUAAUAGCUGGGCUGUCUGAUGUCCUAAUAGCUGGGCUGGGUGAUGUCCUAAUAGCUGGGCUGGGUGAUGUCCUAAUAGCUGGGCUGGGUGAUGUCCUAAUAGCUGGGCUGUCUGAUGUCCUAAUAGCUGGGCUGGGUGAUGUCCUAAUAGCUGGGCUGGGUAAUGUCCUAAUAGCUGGGCUGGGUGAUGUCCUAAUAGCUGGGCUGGGUGAUGUCCUAAUAGCUGGGCUGGCUGGGUGAUGUCCUAAUAGCUGGGCUGGGUGAUGUCCUAAUAGCUGAGCUGGGUGAUGUCCUAAUAGCUGGGCUGGGUGAUGUCCUAAUAGCUGGGCUGGGUGAUGUCCUAAUAGCUGGGCUGGGUGAUGUCCUAAUAGCUGGGCUGGGUGAUGUCCUAAUAGCUGGGCUGGGUGAUGUCCUAAUAGCUGGGCUGGGCUGGGUGAUGUCCUAAUAGCUGGGCUGGGUGAUGUCCUAAUAGCUGGGCUGGGUGAUGUAAUAAUAGCUGGGCUGGGUGAUGUCCUAAUAGCUGGGCUGGGUGAUGUAAUAAUAGCUGGUUUGGGUGAUGUCCUAAUAGCUGGGCUGGGUGAUGUAAUAAUAGCUGGUUUGGGUGAUGUCCUAAUAGCUGGGCUGGGUGAUGUCCUAAUAGCUGGGCUGGGUGAUGUCCUAAUAGCUGGGCUGUGUGAUGUCCUUCGGGUGCCGGACCAUUGUUGAUACACACUGGAAACUGUUGAGCUAAAAAAAAACAGCAACGUUGCAGUUCUUUACACAAACCGGUGCGCUUGGCACCUACUACCAUACCCC
rnacentral:lncRNA from 1 species